UUUUGUUUUUUAUACGUUGCACAUUAAUGUAAAAUAUGUACAAUUAAAUCCCAUAAUAAGAAAGAAGAAAUACUUUUUUUUCAUUAAGUUUCGUUAAAAGGUUUCCACUUUAGAGAAAGCAAUUUAAAGAAAGUU